GUAGGUGGCAAGCGUUGUCCGGAAUUAUUGGGCGUAAAGCGCGCGCAGGCGGUUCUUUAAGUCUGAUGUGAAAGCACGGCUCAACCGUGGAGGGUCAUUGGAAACUGGAGAACUUGAGUACAGAAGAGGAAAGCGGAAUUCCACGUGUAGCGGUGAAAUGCGUAGAGAUGUGGAGGAACACCAGUGGCGAAGGCGGCUUUCUGGUCUGUAACUGACGCUGAGGCGCGAAAGCGUGGGGAGCAAACAGGGAUUAGAUACCCUGGUAGUCCACGCCGUAAACGAUGAGUGCUAAUGUUAGGGGGUUUCCGCCCCCUUAGUGCUGCAGCUAACGCAUUAAGCACUCCGCCUGGGGAGUACGGCCGCAAGGCUG
rnacentral:rRNA from 1 species